GAUGAACGCUGGCGGCGUGCCUAAUACAUGCAAGUCGAGCGAACGGACGAGAAGCUUGCUUCUCUGAUGUUAGCGGCGGACGGGUGAGUAGCACGUGGAUAACCUACCUAUAAGACUGGGAUAACUUCGGGAAACCGGAGCUAAUACCGGAUAAUAUUUUGAACCGCAUGGUUCAAAAGUAAAAGACGGUCUUGCUGUCACUUAUAGAUGGAUCCGCGCUGCAUUAGCUAGUUGGUAAGGUAACGGCUUACCAAGGCAACGAUGCAUAGCCGACCUGAGAGGGUGAUUGGCCACACUGGAACUGAGACACGGUCCAGACUCCUACGGGAGGCAGCAGUAGGGAAUCUUCCGCAAUGGGCGAAAGCCUGACGGAGCAACGCCGCGUGAGUGAUGAAGGUCUUCGGAUCGUAAAACUCUGUUAUUAGGGAAGAACAUAUGUGUAAGUAACUGUGCACAUCUUGACGGUACCUAAUCAGAAAGCCACGGCUAACUACGUGCCAGCAGCCGCGGUAAUACGUAGGUGGCAAGCGUUAUCCGGAAUUAUUGGGCGUAAAGCGCGCGUAGGCGGUUUUUUAAGUCUGAUGUGAAAGCCCACGGCUCAACCGUGGAGGGUCAUUGGAAACUGGAAAACUUGAGUGCAGAAGAGGAAAGUGGAACUCCAUGUGUAGCGGUGAAAUGCGCAGAGAUAUGGAGGAACACCAGUGGCGAAGGCGACUUUCUGGUCUGUAACUGACGCUGAUGUGCGAAAGCGUGGGGAUCAAACAGG
rnacentral:rRNA from 1 species